GGACGUGUGCCCGACCAAUAGGGGUUACUUUGAUAGAGUAAACUACAGGGGCCCCCACCCCCUCACUUCCU
rnacentral:tRNA from 1 species